CUUUUUUUUUUCCUUUUUUUUUUUUUUUUUUUAUUCAGAAGUGAUCAAAGAUUCUGAUGGUUAUUCAAGUCCAGUGCAAAUAAUGCUCUUGUCCCUUUAUCAUAACAUAUCAUCCUGACCUAGAAACGUUUAUACAAAUAACUCUCUCUUCAUACUAAGUCUCCAUGAUUCUUAUUCCAGGUAACAGAAUUUAAUAUAGAUCUCACUUUUCAUUAUAAAGAUCCUGUACAAUUUGUUAUGGAAAUCUCAAAACUAGUAACCAGGAUGUGACUUCAGUGACUCUUACUUUAAAAAAAAAGAAACAACCAAAAAACCAAACCAACAAAACAUAGCCAGAGGAGUAAAUAGAGUUCCUCUUUUUUUAGUACCUCAAUAAAUGGGGCUCAAGAGUAUAUUUUACCUGAAACAAUACCUAAAAUCCUGGAACAGUCCUCAGAGAAGGUUUUGGAAGAUAUGUCAAUCUACUACCAGCCAAAUAUCAACAGGACCAGACAUCUCUUGUACUUCAGUCAGCAAAUGCUUAAAAUCUCUCUGCUAAAUGGAAGCAGAAAAUGGGUGGAAAACUCUUUCACAUAGGUUAGACAUAUUACCGUUUACAUUUUGAGAAAGGUAGAAAGGAUUGACAUAUAAAGAAAUUAAAUUUUUAUUUCAUGUCUACACUACUCAAUAUUGACUUAAACAAGUGCUGCAGUACUGGGAUGCAGGAAAAAACUUGGGGGAACCACAAGUGUAUUUUUCUAAAAACACUAUUACUGUUUAUUUUGGAUAGAAAACAGAGCUGUGAAUCCUCUGUGCAAGAUGUGCUUUCUUACAGUGAACAAAGUAUCUGAGUCACAUAAAAGGAUGAAUUUUGAUUUGCAUAGGAGUCUUAUGUAUUUGUCAUGGUCUAAUAUAGGAAGUUCUGAGUUCAGACAGACAUAUUUUAACUGGACUGUGCAAGCGCUGUAGUUUUACAUCUACCACCUGUUCUAGUCAGAUCCCUUUGGGUGCAGGGUAUGGCAAGCAGCGUCUUAAGCAUCUAACGAGGUCAUGGAUUGUGCUCCAGCAGUCAAAUACCUAAUCCCAUUUGUAGCUGGGGGCCAGGUUUUCAAAGGAAUAUAUUAAAAAUCUGUUUCAAAUGAAGGUAGAUAUUUUUGGACAAUGUUUGGUUGUCUGUGAAAAACUGAGGGAUUUAAUAAUUAGCUAAUGAGUAGCUCCUGGUAUUUAGACUUGUUUCUAGUCCUACAGUUUUAGAAGGACCUAAGGAAAUACUGCUGAGGAGAAACUGAGGUAUCUCUACCAUAUAACAGAACUAGAAAGGUAGAGUAGAGCUUUUUCACUACUAUUUUGCUUCUUUAUUCAUCAGAAAGUUUACUUUUCUGAAGCACCAGAAAGAUUAAAAUUUGUUCAAUAAAUAAUAAAUAUAAAAGCAACUUAUGGAUUAUGAUGUUAGCUAAGCUUGUUUUCUCAUUGCACACAUUUUUGCUACAUCAAAAAGCUAACCCUAUCUCUUCUUUAUAUACAUAAAAUGAACAAUAAUUUAAAAAUAUUGUAGACCUUAAUUGUUACCAACCUUAACUGCUAUUAAAAAAAAGUCAAUCUAAUUUCUAAGGUAAUUAAGCUCACUUUCCAAAUCCUUUUUAUAUAACGUCAUUCAGAACCCUUUAAUUGUAAUGUUAUGUAAUGAAAUGCAUCUUUUUUAUGUUGAUACUAAUGACUUUAUAAUUGGAGAACAGGAGGGAAUUCUGCACAAGAUGUAGGAACAAGACAAUUUGUGGAAUACAAGGGACUGAUGACAAUUUAUGCAUCUUGUUUCAAGCCUCAUGACUCUAAAUAAUGAAAAUUAGGCAAAAUCCUACUUCUCCACAGACCUACUUGCCAAUAGGGGAAGUCAAGGUUAGUCAGUAAGCACUAUAUCCCUUCAAAUGGAGCUGUGAGUACUCCGACAGCUUCUGCUUUAGACCAAAGAGCACAGUUUAAAACCCUACUGCCAACCAAAUGUUAUGAAAUCAUCUGAAUAGAUGCUUGCUUGAGUACAGGUUUUUAUAUGGCCUUUUUAAUGUUACCCCAGUGGCAAAGUGUGUUCAGAUAAGGAAGUAAAGAAAAAUAUAUGCCACUUAUUAUUGCAAAAAUGUAUAGAUUUGUGCUUAGAGAAAUCUGAAAUUAUUCUUUUAAAGUGUGAAACAGGGAUUAUAUUCAACAGGAAAAGCUCCUGCUGUGAGUAUACCUUUUUUUUAUUAUGUCAUUUUCAUCAAUUCUAGCCCUGGGACUUUGUUUCUUCAACUGUCUCACACUGUCUGGAAUUUUAGAUCCUGUCAUCUUGUGCAGCACUAAUACAUUUUUAUGCAGGAAACACUCGCUUAGUACUGUUAAAUCAGGAGGCCAGCCAGCUUUGAUAUCCAGAUUCUUUGAAAAUCUUUUGUAUAAAGAGUACUCUAUGAAAGACACCAAUAAAAAUUUAAUGACCUGUGCUUCCAAUUUCAAACAGUAGGAAUAAACUCAAGAAUCUCACUUUCCAUUUCUGCUACAGACUGUGUCAACAUGAGCAUUUCUGUAUAUCAUGUUGUGUAAAAUAUUUUAUUUUGAGCAGCAAAAAUACAGCACACUUUCAAGUGGGAGUCCAGGAUAUUAACUGUAAAUUUUUCUGAUUAAAGGUAUAUAGUCUUUCCUGGCCUAGCACUACUACAAAGAAAUCAGAGUAUAAAUGGGUCCUCUUUGUGAAGGAUAGGAGAAAAAUGAAACAAUUCUUUGGUCUUGUUUGUAUUUUUGUGCAUUGUAAAUCUUAUUAUGGGCAAAAUUUUACACGUUAUAUGAUGAUCAUUAAUGUUCUGAUGCCCAGCCAUACAUGGUAUAGGCAAUAAAAGUAAAAAUACAUUGCCUUCAACAAAAAUAAUUGAAUACUUGCAGAAUUUAUGAGUCUCAUGAUUUGGACGCAAUCACAAUGGCACCUAACAUGACAGUUGUAAUAAAAACCUUUGUUGGAUUUGGUUGGCAAGUGUAACCAUCUAAAGGAAAUAAUAAAAAAUAUUAUGAAGGAAUUAAUAAAAAAAUAAAUGUAGUGUAGGAUCCAAGUGAGGCUCAGUCUAACACCCAAGUGCAACAUCUGCUUGUGCUGUGCUUGAGCUGUCGUAGAAAAGACGACACAUUUAUUCAAUGGCUAAAGAGCUUAUUAGUGUUUUAAUUUUGCAACUGGGAAUCCUGAUUGAUACUUCUUUUCUCCUCCCAUGCUACUUUCACUGUUCUUCCAGCCGUGGGCAAGCUGAACCAUGCAACUCCUUACUGUUGAUGACAUUUCUCUGAAACUGCUGCACUGACAACACCUUGCUGGUGUCCUAGGUUGCAAGGCAGGGUGUAUUCUAUUUGCUAUCUGUUGGAGGUGUGGCAGUUAUCUUCUGUUAAUUGGGCAGUUUUCUUUAUCUCUUCCACAAACCAAUCCUCCCCCAACAGGGAGACAUCUGCUGAUAAUGGGCUAUUGAAUGUCACUGCAUGACUGACAAAAGUCACAGCAUCCCAUUGUGAGAUGCUCUGCCCAGAGGCAGGAGCCAAGCAUUCCUAACUGGAUAUAAUCUUGAAUUUCUUGAAUACCAACAUGUCUUUUUUCUGCGCUGGAUUUCCCAGAGGAACAGCUGCCUCUUCCAUUUCCUUUUCAUAGGAAGACUACACCCUUUUCUACAGGAUCACUACUCCAACAGAACCACACCUGAUGCUCCAGGAGGACUGCUGCCAUAAUUCCCAAUUGGACUGCUGUCUAACAGG
ensembl:lncRNA